AUACGGAGGGGGUUAGCGUUGUUCGGAAUUACUGGGCGUAAAGCGUACGUAGGCGGACUGGAAAGUUGGGGGUGAAAUCCCGGGGCUCAACCCCGGAACUGCCUCCAAAACUUCCAAUCUAGAGAUCGUGAGAGGUGAGUGGAAUUCCAGGUGUAGAGGUGAAAUUCGUAGAUAUUUGGAGGAACACCAGUGGCGAAGGCGGCUCACUGGCUCGAUACUGACGCUGAGGUACGAAAGCGUGGGUAGCAAACGGAAUUAGAAACCCGGGUAGUCC
rnacentral:rRNA from 1 species